AUUGAACGCUGGCGGCAUGCUUUACACAUGCAAGUCGAACGGUAACAGCACUUCGGUGGCUGACGAGUGGCGAACGGGUGCGUAAUACAUCGGAACGUGCCUAGUAGUGGGGGAUAACUACUCGAAAGAGUAGCUAAUACCUCAUGAGAUCUAAGGAUGAAAGCAGGGGACCUUCGGGCCUUGCGCUACUAGAGCGGCUGAUGGCAGAUUAGGUAGUUGGUGGGAUAAAAGCUUACCAAGCCGACGAUCUGUAGCUGGUCUGAGAGGACGACCAGCCACACUGGGACUGAGACACGGCCCAGACUCCUACGGGAGGCAGCAGUGGGGAAUUUUGGACAAUGGGCGCAAGCCUGAUCCAGCAAUGCCGCGUGCAGGAUGAAGGCCUUCGGGUUGUAAACUGCUUUUGUACGGAACGAAAAGCCCUCUUCUAAUACAGGAGGGUCAUGAAGGUACCGUAAGAAUAAGCACCGGCUAACUACGUG
rnacentral:rRNA from 1 species